rnacentral:rRNA from 1 species
UACGGGGGGGGCAAGCGUUGUUCGGAAUUACUGGGCGUAAAGGGCUCGUAGGCGGCCAACUAAGUCAGACGUGAAAUCCCUCGGCUUAACCGGGGAACUGCGUCUGAUACUGGAUGGCUCGAGUUUGGGAGAGGGAUGCGGAAUUCCAGGUGUAGCGGUGAAAUGCGUAGGUAUCUGGAGGAACACCGGUGGCGAAGGCGGCAUCCUGGACCAACACUGACGCUGAGGAGCGAAAGCCAGGGGAGCAAACGGG